CACCACCUACAAAUUGAGGGCUCCUCAUAUCUGCAAGCUGGCCCACAGAGCCUUCCCUCCUUAGUUCAGAUCCAGAUUUCCAACUACCAGCUGGACGUUUCUAUCCAAGUAUUCCCACAACAUCUCAAACUCAACAUUCGUAAUACUGAAUUCAUCAUUUGUACCCCAAUUCUGUUCCUGGGACCUUUGGUUCAGUAACGGGCUCCUCCUUCUCCCACUCCUCACACAAUACAUCAAUUUUACCUCUAACUACUUCUUCAGUUUAUCAGCCCUUCUCUACUCCCACUGACACAACCCAAGUUCAGGCUCAUCCCUCCCCUGCACCACUGAAACAGCUUCUUCUUGGUCUGUUGUCCUCAUCAGAAUUUUCCUUUGUUCUGUCGCCAUAACUGACUUCUAAAACUAAAAUCCUGAGCAAUGAAGUUCUUCCUAACCUGCUGCAGAAACUCCAAACAAAGAUGUCCAAGAUCAGGCUUCUCCAGCUUCGGUUUCCACAGCCUUACAGCCCUGCCAGUCGCACAGCACACAAACAGAUGGUUAGACUCAGUCCUUUUGAGACCACGCAUUCUUGAAUACGGCACGAACCUGAGAAGGAGAGGCCUGUUCAAAGGUUUAGUGAUUUAUUUAGCACCAGUGCAGGCACGUAUCCAUCUCCGUGAAAUCAGGAGAUUCCCCAGUCUGUGCUCACACUGCAUUCAGGGAAGUGGUCUCGAGUCCAGAAAAUCCUGGCGUCACGUGCCCCACCCCUCCAGGUUCCUCAGCUCACCUGAAUCUCAAGAAUUCUUGGGCUGAGCAAGGCGGACACGAUUCUCCCAUUAAAAGCUAGGGGGGGCAUGUGACCAAAAGAAGCCGUGAAAGGAUGUGGCUCCCCCAGCCGGGCCAGUGGAGCUCUACCAUGUCUCCAGUGCCCACGAGUCAAUGCCAGUGGGGUUUGCGAGACUGGGGAAAGUGUCUGCGAGACUCAAGGCAGCCAGCGGUGCUUCCUGAGGAAGGUCUACGAAGAUGACAGGCUCCUGUAUGGAUACCAGGGCUGUGGGGACCUGUGCCUCUCCAUGUCUUUCUUCAGACAAAGUGUUCAAGUGGAUUUUGUAUGCUGCAAUGACACCCCUUUCUGUAACAGAUUUUAGAGACUUGGCCCUUUAGCCCUUUUCUCCCAUUUAGCCCUUUUCUGUACUCCUGCAGCCUCAAAGGAUGGGGCCAUCCUUCCCCAGCACCGUUCAAGCCCUGAAGCCUGCUCCUACUAAGCUACGGGUGGUGACGUUUCCACAGCUUCACCCACCAGACUGAUGCUUCCUGUUUCCCAUCGCCCCUGCUGCUCUUUUUCUCAGAUUCCUGUCUCCCCCCGCCCCCCUUUCUCUCUCUGUACCCACAUCCCUCCUCGCUUCCCCUGUCAUUGGCUGGUAUAUAACAAGCUCUCCCUCCUCCCCCUUUUCCUUCCUCUGACAAAUAUUUUCUGACGGCUAAGCCCGGGAGUUCGAUGCUGAUUAGAGAGCAGUGUAUAAAACAGACCUGAUCUCUGUCCUCAAUCAAUGUGCCUUCAUUUUAGUGGCUCCUUUUCUGCCAGGUGACCAGGGUCACAAUAGCUCCAGUAUCUUGCCUCGUUCUUACUCACAGGACUUAAGGCUGGAAGGGACUCCUUCACCAGCCCCUCUGUCACACACACACACACACACACACACACACACACACUCUUUUUCUCUGUCUCCCUCAGUCUUCCCCCCUUUCCACUGUGUAGCUUUUUCUGAGUAAAUCUUGUA